rnacentral:rRNA from 1 species
GACGAACGCUGGCGGCGUGCUUAACACAUGCAAGUCGAACGGAAAGGCCCUGCUUUUGUGGGGUGCUCGAGUGGCGAACGGGUGAGUAACACGUGAGUAACCUGCUCUUGACUUUGGGAUAACUUCAGGAAACUGGGGCUAAUACCGGAUAGGAGCUCCUGCUGCAUGGUGGGGGUUGGAAAGUUUCGGCGGUUGGGGAUGGACGCGCGGCUUAUCAGCUUGUUGGUGGGGUAGUGGCUUACCAAGGCUUUGACGGGUAGCCGGCCUGGGAGGGUGACCGGCCACAUUGGGACUGAGAUACGGCCCAGACUCCUACGGGAGGCAGCAGUGGGAAAUAUUGCACAAUGGGCGGAAGCCUGAUGCAGAAACGCCGCGUGCGGGAUGACGGCCUUCGGGUUGAAAACCGCUUUCGCCUGUGACGAAGCGUGAGUGACGGUAAUGGGUAAAGAAGCACCGGCUAACUACGUG